GCACUGUGUAUGCUCUCUCUCGCUCGCUCUCUCUCUCUUGCUCUCUCUCUCUCUCCCUUUCGAGAGAGAGAGAGAGAGAGAGAGAGAGAGAGAGAGAGAGAGAGAGAGAGAGA